UGGACAGUGAUGAAUGUCAUGUGGCUUCUGAACAAAAGAUUUUGAUUAAGCCUAUCUGGAACUCUGAGGGCCAU
ensembl:snoRNA